UUCUUCUUGAAACAAAGCAUCAGUCUGCCCCAGAGGACAGAAGAAGGAGGUUCAGUCGGAUGCCUUUUGACUUCAUGACUCCUAUUAAUAGAUACCCCUUCGCUUCUCCCCAGUCCUUGGAGCUCUUUAAAGUCAAGAGUCUUGGAUAGAAACAAAACAGGACUUGGCGUGGUGGCAGCAGAACUGAGUGGACGGGUGAGUGGCCACAGCGCUGCCUUGUGUGAGACCCACUACCCCGGCUGACUGGGCACUGGACCACAUGCUGGACACAUCACAGCUGCCAAGUCUGCCCAAGCUGGGGAAACCUGGGGAAGAGACCUUCGCCUGAGCGCCAUGUUAGAGACUGGUUGGCACCACUGUGGCUUCUGCAGACAGGAAGUGCGAAUCUGAAAGGAAGAACUGCGAGGGCCCAGUUGCUUUCCCUCUCACUAGCCUUAGAAAAGCUUCUUUGUCUGGUGAAGAUUCUUCUUAGACAAGCGGACAAUGGCGAACAUCCGAAAAGACUUGCCAGUAGGGUGUCUUUAAGGCUUUUGGUGAAAAUUGAAAUUCGACUUAAAAAGAAACUCAUUUUCUAUUGCAGCAUCAUUUGGGUCCAAUAAAAAUUAGAAAA
rnacentral:lncRNA from 10 species